CCUACGGGAGGCAGCAGUAGGGAAUGUUGCGCAAUGGGGGAAACCCUGACGCAGCAACGCCGCGUGAGAGAUGAAGGCCUUCGGGGUGGAAAGAUCUGUCAGUGGGGACGAAACAUGACGUUACUCACAGAGGAUGCACCGGCGAACUCCGUGCCAGCAGCCGCGGUAAUACGUGGGGUGCAAGCGUUGUCCGGAAUAAUGGGGCGUAAAGGGUGCGUAGGGGGUACGUUAAGUCUGGGGUUAAAGGCCGCAGCUCAACUCCCGAAGGGCAUUGGAUACUGGCGAGCUGGAGUGCGGUAGAGGUAAGGGGAAUUCCUGGUGUAGCGGUGAAAUGCGUAGAUAUCAGGAGGAACAUCGGUGGCGUAGGCGCUUUACUGGGCCGUAAUUGACACUGAGGAACGAAAGCCGGGGUAGCAAAUAGGAUUAGAUACCCUAGUAGUC
rnacentral:rRNA from 1 species